UGUCUUCAAGCCGUCCAGUAACAUCACAGGCAACGUUACGUGCAUCUUUUAGUGGGAGGGCUUUGGGCAAAGAUUGACGUCUGCCUCAAUGGCAGCUGGAGACGAGAUAAAGAAAGAUGCACACGUUCUUGAUAAAAUGGUUUCAGGGGCACCUGUUGAUCCCUUCUCAGUCAGAUGGUUGUAAGUUUGGGUGCAGUGAAUGAAAGGUGUGGUAGACUGGGCGGAUUUCAGCACCGGGCGGAGGACAGCUCCCACAACAGGACUUAAUGUAAACGAUUCAUUGUGGUGAGGAGAAUGAAGGAGCAGUGGGUGAUGAAGAGGAGAAGCGGUACUUACACCUACUUCAAUAUCCACAGAAAAGCACGGUGGUCAGUGUCUAGGCUAAGUGAAUCCAAGGGGGGAGUGAACUUAAUAAACAAUACCGGCUCUCUUGCAUUUAGCCAUUCAUCAGAUCUCGGGGUGGGGGGUGGGGGUACCUCUCAUUGAAAUAUCCAGUUUAUUUCCCUUCGGCGACUGAGGAUUCAUGGAAUUAGUCACCACAAUGUCCUCUCCCCCACAACCCCCUUUAUUCUCGUUUUCACUAAACUGCCACAUCCCCCCCCCCCAAUCCUGUUGCAUAGCUACCAGCUCAGCCCAUAAAUCACACAGGAAGAUGAAUGACAGUGAUUAGGACAAUUCAUGGGUCUUCCUCUUCCUCCAGGGACCUGGAUAGCAUGUUUGUCGUCAUAAUUAUCACAUUGCAUUUCAAUUACAAUUACCACCCCCACUAGUGGUGACAUUAUGGGUGGGUAUUUGGUAUGUCGUCUCAGCACCACACUUAGCAGUUGAAUUCAAAAACCAAUUUGUGGGAAUGCCUGGGUCUAUAGCUCCCUCGUCCAUGGGCAGCAGGUUC